rnacentral:lncRNA from 1 species
AAAAGUGAAAACACUUGUAACAGUUACUCUGGAAUGUGGCUAGUUGCAAAAUACAAAGUCUUAUUGUUAAGGGCAGGCAAGUUUCUUAGGAAAGGAAAGAUUCCUGUACAUUGUAUGCCUGAAAGUAAUAUAAUAUCAUAUGACAAUUGUAUCUCAACUAAAAAAGAAAGAAGAAAGAUUUCUAAAAUUAGAGCUAUAUCAUAGAAAGAAAUUUACAGGAGAAAACCUCUCCAUGAUACAUAAGAUGUGUGCGAAAUUUCAAUAAUCAAUGAUGUUUGAAGGGAAGUCCUAGUGAGUAAAGAAAAGCAAAAUAACAUUAAGCCGACUCAAGUAAUCCUACCUCUGUUAAGAACGUACACAGUGUGUCUGAGGCUGGAAAUCUGAGCUCUGGGCAGCGUGUAGUGACAACAGAUGUCACUCCUGGGCAAGACGAGACGGGGCUGGAAAGCGCACAAAGGUCAGACCUCCAGCGACGUCUUGUUAUGUCUAGCGAGGACUUAUAGAAGCAAUCAGUGCACGUGCAUAAACACACACACACACACACACACACAAACACAUUUUUUAUUUUAUGACUGUAUAGUGCCUUAAUGUCUAGUUCCUGUUAAUUCCUCUCUGUUACCCUCUCUUAAUUCAUAUCUGUUCUCUUAAGGGUCUGUAUAUUUAUUUGAAUCUUUUUAAAUUUAAUCUUUUAAUUUGGAACUUGCUUUGAGCCGUAUCUUAACCUUCUCUCUCCAAAUUCCAGAAUGUGGGCCCAGAUUCCCAGCAUUGCCAUUCCUGCAGCCCCAUGCUCAGUGAGAUAUUUCUGGCUUAUUCUUUCCCUAAAGAAGGAUGCCGGGCUUUGGCUUUGUGGGUUAGAGAACUGGGAAGUCCCUGGUCACUGGUGUGUGUGUUCACCUUCCCUGUCUCUCUCUUCUACGCCUAUAACUCCUGUAGCCAAUGAGUGGUUUCCCCAGGUAAUAUUUUUCACUAUACUGUUGACCACACUCCUUUCAUUCUCUACCCUUCUCCCCUACCAUUCUUCACACCCAUUAACCAACAUUUUAAAAACAAAUCAUUAUAGAACUAUUUCUAGUAGAAAGCACUUUUGCUAAUUUGGCUGAAAGUAUAUGCCAUUUUAAGUAUAGUCAAGUUCCAUUGAUAUGUGCACAUAGACACACACAUGCACAUAUACAAACACACACAUCACAGUACAUAGACACACCAACAUGCACCACAACACACACAGACACACACAGCAGUUUCCUGCUGUGUGUGUGUACUCAGUUGCUCAGCUGUGUCCAACUCUUUUGCAGCCGCAUGGACUGUAGCCUCUAGGCUCCUCUGUCCAUGCAAUUUUCCAGGCAAGAAUACUGGAGCAGGUUACCAUUUCCUACUCCACAACUUCCUUCUAAGCAGCAUCAAAUUUAGAGACACCAUUCUAUUCCUUUUUGUCCUUAAGAAAGAACCUCAACAUCUUUACAUUUGGUAUCUGUAACAUUUGCAAAGAACCAACAAGGUGUCCAGCUGUAGAAUUCCCAGUCUUAAUUACCCUUGCAGAGAUGAAUGUUCCUAAAACCCCAACCCCAGGCUUUUGAGGAAGCAGAUGGCACCUUUUGCCUUCCUCUGGAAAAGGGCUGGCUUCACUGCUCUGGUUUCUCCUGAACCCUUGUCUUUACUCACAAGGGCAGAAGAGUUCAAACAGAGC